AAAGCGUGCGCAGGCGGUUUUGUAAGACUGUCGUGAAAUCCCCGGGCUCAACCUGGGAAUGGCGAUGGUGACUGCAAGGCUAGAGUUUGGCAGAGGGGGGUAGAAUUCCACGUGUAGCAGUGAAAUGCGUAGAUAUGUGGAGGAACACCGAUGGCGAAGGCAGCCCCCUGGGUCAAAACUGACGCUCAUGCACGAAAGCGUGGGGAGCAAACAGGAUUAGAUACCCUGGU
rnacentral:rRNA from 1 species